rnacentral:lncRNA from 1 species
CUAAAACUAACGGAGCAAUUGAUGUUUUAGAUUACAUUGAUAAUGAAUUGUUGUUUUGCAAAUGCUUGGAUUGCUUAUAAAGUAUUACUGGCUAUUCAUGUCAUCGUUGUCACGGUCGAAAGAAGUUUUUCAAAACUUAGAUUGAUUAAAUCUUAUCUUCAAUCAAUCAUGUCACAAAAGAGAUUGAAUGAAUUAACUAUAAUUAGUAGUCUAGGACUCAAAAUUCUGAGGUCAGGCCUUAUUUCAAAUCAAUGGAAAUAAAGACUGGAGAUGUAAUAAAAGCAUACCGUGAUUUUUUGAUGGUGGUAAAAUGCCCUACGAAUUUUGGGGGCAGCCUUGAAACUAUGUUGAAAAAGAUUUCUUCAGGAAAUACUUCUUAUCAUCUUUUUUCUUGAUGAUUUGUGACAUUGCUUUUGCUCAUCCAGGGCUACCAAACAACGAAGCAGAAGAUUAAUCAAGUUAUAACAAAUAAAGUUAAACAUUUUAAAAAUGAACAAAAUACCUUAAAAAUGAAUAAAAUACCAAUCAAUGUCAUACCUUAUAAUCUUCAGUCAAAUCCAUAGUUCAGAUGAGGGUUGGGAUUAACCUGUAUAUUUAUUUCUAAACAGAGUUCAAACGUUCCUUUCUCUUUCGAGUCAUCAUCCUAAUAUAAGGAAGAGACUGACUGCAACAUGCCAAUAUGAAAUGGGGCUGGAAAAUUGAAUAGAAAACUUAAAAUCUAAAUUUUAAGGUACAUAAAAAUAUAAAAUUUUUCAAAACCUAAUAAGAGACCGACCAUUGCCCUGUCUGUAAUCAAAUCUAUUACAUGAUACAAAUAAUUUUCAAUACCUAAUAAGAGACCGACCAUUACCCUGUCUGGAAUCAAGUCUAUUACGCGAUGCAAAUAAAAUUCAAAGUUCCA